rnacentral:tRNA from 1 species
CAGCCCGUUUAGCUCAGUGGUAGAGCGCGCCACUCGUAUGUGAAAUGGCGAGGUCGUCGGAUCAAUCCCGACAGUGGGCAAAG